UGGGAUAUGGCUUAGUAGCUGAGUGCUUGCUUGGCAAGCACAAGAGUCUGGGAUCCAUUUCCAGUACCUCAG
rnacentral:tRNA from 1 species